rnacentral:rRNA from 1 species
GACGAACGCUGGCGGCGUGCUUAACACAUGCAAGUAGAACGAAGACGCGAACGGGUGAGUAAUACGUUGGUACCUUGCCCUCCUUUCUGGGAUAAGCCUUGGAAACGGGGUCUAAUACCGAAUAAAGGGGGAUGGGCUCGCGGCCUAUCGGCUUGUUGGUGGCGUGUUGGCCUACCAAGGCGGUGCCGGGUAGCCGGCCUGAGAGGGUGACCGGCCACAUGAGGACUGAGAGACGGCCCAGGGGGCUACGGGAGGCAGCAGUGGGGGAGAUUGCACAAUGGGGGAAAGGCUGAUGCAGCGACGCCGCGUGGGGUAUGAAGUCUUUCGGGUUGUAAGUCUCUGUCGCUAGCGAACGGGUAGGUAGAGAAGAAGCGCCGGCUAACUACGUGCCAGCAGCCGCGGUAAUUC